rnacentral:rRNA from 1 species
GCUUUACACAUGCAAGUCGAACGGCAGCACGGACUUCGGUCUGGUGGCGAGUGGCGAACGGGUGAGUAAUGUAUCGGAACGUAUCCAGUAAUGGGGGAUAACUAAUCGAAAGGUUGGCUAAUACCGCAUACGCCCUACGGGGGAAAGCAGGGGAUCUUCGGACCUUGCGUUAAUGGAGCGGCCGAUAUCUGAUUAGCUAGUUGGUGAGGUAAGAGCUCACCAAGGCGACGAUCAGUAGCUGGUCUGAGAGGACGACCAGCCACACUGGAACUGAGACACGGUCCAGACUCCUACGGGAGGCAGCAGUGGGGAAUUUUGGACAAUGGGCGCAAGCCUGAUCCAGCCAUUCCGCGUGAGUGAAGAAGGCCUUCGGGUUGUAAAGCUCUUUCGCAAGGGAAGAAACGAUGCAGACGAAUAAUCUGUGUUAAUGACGGUACCUUGAUAAGAAGCACCGGCUAACUACGUGCCAGCAGCCGCGGUAAUACGUAGGGUGCAAGCGUUAAUCGGAAUUACUGGGCGUAAAGCGUGCGCAGGCGGUUUUGUAAGUCAGAUGUGAAAUCCCCGAGCUCAACUUGGGAACUGCGUUUGAAACUACAAGACUAGAAUAUGUCAGA